rnacentral:tRNA from 1 species
UCCUCAAUAGCUCAAUGGUGGAGCAACCGGCUGUUAACCGGUAGGUUGUAGGUUCGAGCCCUACUUGGGGAGCCA